rnacentral:rRNA from 1 species
CGCGUAGGCGGAUCGCUAAGUCAGGGGUGAAAUCCCAGGGCUCAACCCUGGAACUGCCUUUGAUACUGACGGUCUGGAGAUCGGGAGAGGUUGGUGGAAUUCCGAGUGUAGAGGUGAAAUUCGUAGAUAUUCGGAGGAACACCAGAAGCGAAGGCGGCCAACUGGCCCGAUACUGACGCUGAGGCGCGAAAGCGUGGGGAAGCAAACAG